AUUCUACUCCCUCCGUUGCACAAUACAUGCCUUCUAUUUGUCAAAAUAUAUAUGUAUAUUGACAUGUCUUAGUUUAUAGGUACAUCCAUUUUUGGACAAAUGGAAGUCAAGUAUUUUGGAACGGAGGGAGUACACA
rnacentral:pre_miRNA from 1 species